rnacentral:tRNA from 1 species
GGGCUGCAUCGCCGCUGGUCAGUAGAUUUUUAGCGCCGCCCUUACAAGGCGGAUGUCGGCGGUUCGACCCCGUCUGCGCCCA